AGGGAGAAAAAGGUGAUCAAGGACCCCCUGGACCCCAGGGACCCCAAGGAAGGCCUGGAGAGAAAGGUCCAAAAGGCAGUGCUGGAAAACCUGGAAGACCAGGAUUUACUGGACCACCUGGAGCAACUGGACAUGUGGGUGUGUCAGGAAAACCUGGACAAAAGGUAUAGU